rnacentral:rRNA from 1 species
GUGAAAUUGUUGAAAGGGAAACGAUUGAAGCCAGUCGUACCUGCGGGUAAUCAGCCUUUUGGGCAUGAUUCUGGGAGUGUGAGGAGUUAAACGCCUUCAUGCCUGCAUAUUCGUGUACUUUGGGUGUACUUGCCUGUGUGGUUAGUUAACAUCAAUUUUGAUUAUCAUAAAAUGGCUGGAGGAAUGUAGCUUCGAUUUCGAUUGAAGUGUUAUAGCCUUCGGCAGAUGUGAUGAUCGGGAUUGAGGAUUGCAACGGAUACCCUUCGGGGCUACCUGUCUGAUCUCUGAUCGUUGCUCUGGUGCCGAAAGCGUGCUUACGGUUAUCAAAGUCGAUGGUCAAUAGGUUAGAAUGGGUUAAAUUCGUUAAGGAUGUUGACGUAAUGGCUUUAAACGAC